AACAUCAGCUGAAAAAGUUAUGAACAUAAAAGUUGUAGAACUCAUCAAGACAUAUAACUUUUAUUUUGGUCAUUUCUUUAUCCGAUAAAGUGAUAGUAAUAUUGUUCACAAAAUUUACAUCUCUUUUAUAGUUUAUAAAACCAAAUGAGAGAUGUAAAUUUAUGAACAAUGUUACUAUUACUUUAUCGGAUGAAGAAAUGACCAAAAUAAAAGUUAUAGAUCUCGAUGAGUUAUACAACUUCAUUGUUGAUGACUUUUUCAGUUGAAAUC
rnacentral:pre_miRNA from 1 species